GUCUGUGGUGGUACAUGGGAGCUGUCUCACAGGUCUGUGGUGGUACAUGGGAGCUGUCCCAGAGGUCUGUGGUGGUACAUGGGAGCUGUCCCAGAGGUCUGUGGUGGUACAUGGGAGCUGUCCCAGAGGUCUGUGGUGGUACAUGGGAGCUGUCCCAGAGGUCUGUGGUGGUACAUGGGAGCUGUCUCAGAGGUCUGUGGUGGUACAUGGGAGCUGUCUCAGAGGUCUGUGGUGGUGCAUGGGAACUGUCUCAGAGGGUCCCCGCUUGUGUUAUCAAGGACACAGGACUCUGAGUGAAACUGACAUGUGCUGUAAAGGAAGGUGAGAGAUGGUGCAUGGCUUAAUCAGGUCGUAGCUUCCAGAUCAAUAACAUUUUUAUCAUCCGCAUUUCAUAGUUCAGGAAAACAUCUUGCCCAUAGUUAUCCCAUUUAUUUUCUCAAGUCUGGUCUUGGAUUUGGAGUCCAGUGCCCAUGAUCAGAGAUGCCACACAGGGGAAAAAAACUCCUAAGUGCCUAAUAAAUUUAGCAACAGUGUUCAUUUUAAGGAGACACCAAUUUUGUGAGGUGGUCUUUCAGGGGGAAGGGAUGGGAGAUGUGGA